AUGAACCAGGUAGGGUUAGGGUAACAACUAUGUCCUGAUGAACCAGGUAGGGUAACAACUAUGUCCUGAUGAACCAGGUAGGGUUAGGGUAACAACUAUGUCCUGAUGAACCAGGUAGGGUUAGGGUAACAACUAUGUCCUGAUGAACCAGGUAGGGUUAGGGUAACAACUAUGUCCUGAUGAACCAGGUAGGGUUAGGGUAACAACUAUGUCCUGAUGAACCAGGUAGGGGUAGGGUAACAACUAUGUCCUGAUGAACCAGGUAGGGUUAGGGUAACAACUAUGUCCUGAUGAACCAGGUAGGGUUAGGGUAACAACUAUGUCCUGAUGAACCAGGUAGGGUAACAACUAUGUCCUGAUGAACCAGGUAGGGUUAGGGUAACACCUAUGUCCUGAUGAACCAGGUAGGGUUAGGGUAACAACUAU